UUUUAAUUAAAUUUAUUAAAUUCAUUUAAUUAAAAAUAUCAAGUAAAUAUAUUAAAAUCUUUUAUUUCCCUAUUUUUAGUAAUCCCUCACGUCUCCACGAUGAAACCCUAUUCUCAUCUCCACGCUUCCACACAACACAGGCGAACGACCACUUCUUCGAAUCGACGGACGACUUCCACACAACACAGAGUGGCAAACGGCGAAUGGCUUCCACACGACGAACGCUUCCACCCGGCGAACAGCUUCCACCCGGCGAACAGCUUCAACCCGUUGCGAACAGCUUCAACCCGACGAACAACUUCCACGCAGCGAACAACUUCCACAGUGAACGGCUUCCACGACUGCGAACAUCUUUCGCACGGCGAACUGCUUCCGCACGGCGAACUGCUUCCGCACGCCGAACUGCUUCCGCGUUCAAAGGUUUUUAUGCUCCUCAUUCUUAUUGUAUUUAACAUUUUUCAAUGAAUAAUGCUCCCUUGAAUUUGAUUUAUAUCUUGUAAUUAAGGAUGAUAUUGUAAACCCAAAGUGAGAAAAACACAAAGAGAAGAAAAUUGAGAAUGACUCUCGUAUAUUUAUAUUUAUUUGUGUUAUAUGUUUAUGUUGUUUAUGUUCAAAUUCGUAAACAAAUGGUAUAAUCUAAUUGACAAAUAGAGAAGACCAUCAUUUUUCUUUAUUGUUGUUUUUUUACAGGAAUGAGUAAUGAAAAAUUAAGGGUGACUCUUGGAUGUUUUAGACCGUAAUUAAUUUGUUGUCGUUAUGGUUAUAAUUAUCAUAUUGAUUUUUUUAUAGUAAUGAGUAAUGAAUUGGUAUAUUUACUCUUGGUAAGAUUCAUACUUUUGAAUGCCAUUUUUUUUUAUAGUAAUGAGUAAUGAAUUGAUCUUGUGUGCAUCAUCAUAUCCCAAUUACACAUGCAUCUUGGAAGCUGGUGCCGACUGAUUUGAAAGAAAAAGUAUACAAUAUGAUUGAGGUAUGUAAUCAUCCUUCUCAUUUGGAAAUCAUGCAAACACUACACACUUAUUGUAUAUUUUGAGUCAUACUAUCUUGUGGUUAUCCUGUAGCCUUGGUAGCCCCAUAGCCUUGGUCUUGUGGCUAUCCUGUAGCCUUGGUAGCCCCGUAGCCUUGGUCUUGUGGCUAUCCUGUAGCCUUGGUAGCCCCAUAGCCUUGGUCUUGUGGCUAUCCUGCUAUGGUAGCCAAUCAUGCAUAUAUUGGUAAAUGUAAAUAUAUUUAUAAAAUAAUUUUUAUUUUAAUCUAGCACAUAAUAUAAUAUAUAUGCAUUGUUAAUUGGUUGUGUUAUAGUGUUCUUUACAAGUAGGUACGGUUGAAUGUGGAUAUUAUGUCAUGAGAUACAUGCAAGAAAUUGUGACUAAGGACACAAACAUUAUCACUGAUGUGAUUGAUACAAGAAGCCCAUACACACAGCUUGAAUUGGAUAGACGAGGGGAGUGGGCUGGAUUUUUAGCUCGGUACAUAUGAUAGACACACCUAGAUAUGAUCAUGUUAAUUUUGUAAAUGGCUAAGAUAUGGGAAUGCUCAUAACCUUUUUUGUGGAAACGUUUUGUUCAUAGCCAUUAUGAGGGCAAAAGAUAUAUGGGGAUAGGCUUCAAUUUUGAUUAUAUAAGACAACUAUUAUCAUUUAAUAUUUUGGAAUAGGACACAUAUAGGAAAUUUUAGUUGGCUAUAUUGGAUUGGAAUUGUGUAAUUGUUGAUGACAUUGUUGAGAAUAAUGAAAUUAUUGUUGGUUUACAUAUUAUACUAAACUUUUUGUCCUUUUUUUUGUUGUGUAAUUGUUCGUUGGAGAAUUUGUUUUGUUUAUGGAUAUGUCUUAUUGAAGUAAAUGUAUGUAAUGCAGGAAAUAAAAAAU